AAUUAGGAUCAGGUUUAGA
rnacentral:piRNA from 1 species